rnacentral:ncRNA from 2 species
GUGCGUCUUCAGGGCGGGGCGAAAUUCCCCACCGGCGGUAUGUGCGGCGGCCGAAAGGUUGUCCACGAGCCCGCGAGCGCCCGUCGAGCAGGAUCAAGGCAGGAUCGACGGGGUCAGCAGAUCUGGUGCGAAGCCAGAGCCGACGGUCAUAGUCCGGAUGGAAGAAGAUGUGC